UGCCUAAUACAUGCAAGUCGAGCGGACAGAAGGGAGCUUGCUCCCGGAUGUUAGCGGCGGACGGGUGAGUAACACGUGGGUAACCUGCCUGUAAGACUGGGAUAACUCCGGGAAACCGGAGCUAAUACCGGAUAGUUCCUUGAACCGCAUGGUUCAAGGAUGAAAGACGGUUUCGGCUGUCACUUACAGAUGGACCCGCGGCGCAUUAGCUAGUUGGUGAGGUAACGGCUCACCAAGGCGACGAUGCGUAGCCGACCUGAGAGGGUGAUCGGCCACACUGGGACUGAGACACGGCCCAGACUCCUACGGGAGGCAGCAGUAGGGAAUCUUCCGCAAUGGACGAAAGUCUGACGGAGCAACGCCGCGUGAGUGAUGAAGGUUUUCGGAUCGUAAAGCUCUGUUGUUAGGGAAGAACAAGUGCAAGAGUAACUGCUUGCACCUUGACGGUACCUAACCAGAAAGCCACGGCUAACUACGUGCCAGCAGCCGCGGUAAUAC
rnacentral:rRNA from 1 species